GAAUGCUGACAUAAGUAACGAUAAAGCGGGUGAAAAGCCCGCUCGCCGGAAGACCAAGGGUUCCUGUCCAACGUUAAUCGGGGCAGGGUGAGUCGACCCCUAAGGCGAGGCCGAAAGGCGUAGUCGAUGGGAAACAGGUUAAUAUUCCUGUACUUGGUGUUACUGCGAAGGGGGGACGGAGAAGGCUAUGUUAGCCGGGCGACGGUU
rnacentral:rRNA from 1 species